GCUGGGCAUGGUGGUGCAUGCCUGUAAUCCCAACUACUUGGGAGGCUGAGGCAGGAGAAUCGCUUGAACCCAGGAGGCAGAGGUUGCAGUGAGCCGAGAUCGCCCGUUAUACUCCAGCCUGGGCAACAAGAGUGAAACUCCCUCAAAAUAAAAUAAAAUAAAAUAGGCCAGGCACGGUGGCUCACGCCUGUAAUCCCAGCACUUUGGGAGGCCAAGGCGGGCGGAUCACAUGGUCAGGAGAUUGAGACCAUCCUAGCUAACACAGUGAAACCCCAUCUCU
rnacentral:sRNA from 1 species